GGAGGGGUGGCCGAGUGGCUGAAGGCGCACGCUUGGAAAGCGUGUAUACGGGGAACCGUAUCGAGGGUUCGAAUCCCUCUCCCUCCGCCA
rnacentral:tRNA from 2 species